rnacentral:rRNA from 1 species
CAGUAGCCGCGGGAAUACGGAGGGUGCAAGCGUUAAUCGGAAUUACUGGGCGUAAAGCGCACGCAGGCGGUUUGUUAAGUCAGAUGUGAAAUCCCCGAGCUUAACUUGGGAACUGCAUUUGAAACUGGCAAGCUAGAGUCUUGUAGAGGGGGGUAGAAUUCCAGGUGUAGCGGUGAAAUGCGUAGAGAUCUGGAGGAAUACCGGUGGCGAAGGCGGCCCCCUGGACGAAGACUGACGCUCAGGUACGAAAGCGUGGGGAGCAAACAGGAUUAGAUACCCGUGUAGUCCCUGUCUCUUAUAC